rnacentral:lncRNA from 1 species
GGGAGAUGGGUGAGAACCCCAGUUUCACACUCUCCAAGGAAAUUGUUGAUAGGUAUGAAGGCAAGAUUUGGGAAGAUUUCUUCACAAAGCAUUUUAAACAGAAUCCUGAAAUAAAUGCUGUUCAGCUCCAGAGGAUCCUGAAUAAUGUAUCUUGGAGAAGUAAGUACUAAGAAAUAAUGUUUCUGUAAAAUAAACCCUCUUAGAGAAA